GGAAUUUUCCGCAAUGGGCGAAAGUCUGACGGAGCGACGCUGCGUGAAGGAUGACGGCCUGCGGGUUGUAAACUUCUUUUCUCGAAGAAGAAGCUCUGACGGUAUUCGAGGAAUAAGCAUCGGCUAACUCCGUGCCAGCAGCCGCGGUAAUACGGAGGAUGCAAGUGUUAUUCGGAAUGAUUGGGCGUAAAGCGUCUGUAGGCUGUAUAGAAAGUCUUUUGUUAAAUGCCUCGGCUCAACCGAGAUCCAGCAAAGGAAACUUCUAUACUUGAGGGAAGUAGAGGUACAGGGAAUUCCCGAUGGAGCGGUGAAAUGCGUAGAUAUCGGGAGGAACACCAAUAUGGCGAAGGCACUGCACUGGGCUUUACCUGACGCUCAGAGACGAAAGCUAAAGGAGUGAUUAGGAUUAGAUACCCCAGUAGUC
rnacentral:rRNA from 1 species